AAUCUCGGAGACACACUCUCAGAGAUUAGGGUUUUGUUUUCUGUUGUUAUUCUGAUCCUCCUUUUUUUUCUUUUUUUUUUUUCUUUUCCGUUUUUAUUUUCAUUUUAUUUUUAAUUUUGUUUGUUGGGUGGGUUAAAUAAGUGUGGCUCCUAGAGAGAGAGAGAGAGAGAGUGGAGAUUUUUUGUUUGAUUGUGUGGUGCUGUGUUGGGUUGUGGUUUUGGUUUGGAAUUGUGGUGAUGAGUCGUGAGGUGGGUAAUUGUGGGAAGAUCUCUGUUGGGUUUUAGGGUUUUUGGUUCUAUUGAAUCUUGGAGGGCCUAAAGGCCAGGUUCAUGGCCGGGAGUAAUGAAGUCAACCUCAGUGAGUCCAAGAGGGUGGUUCCACUAAAUACAUGGAUUCUAAUAUCCAAUUUCAAGCUGGCUUACAAUCUUCUGCGCCGUCCUGAUGGCACCUUCAAUCGCCACUUGGCUGAGUUCCUUGACAGGAAAGUCCCUGCCAAUGCAAACCCAGUUGAGGGGGUGUUCUCUUUUGAUGUCAUCAUCGACCGGAGCACAAGUCUCCUUAGCCGAAUCUAUCGACCGGCCACAGGAGAAGAAGCUCUCCCCAGCAUCAUGGAGCUUGAAAAGCCGGUGACGGGUGAUAUUGUUCCUGUCAUACUUUUCUUCCACGGUGGGAGCUUUGCACAUUCCUCUGCUAAUAGUGCAAUAUAUGACACACUUUGCCGGCGCCUUGUUGGCAUAUGCAAGGCUGUUGUUGUGUCUGUGAAUUAUCGGCGAGCACCUGAAAACCCAUACCCUUGUGCCUAUGAUGAUGGCUGGGCUGCUCUUAAGUGGGUUAACUCGAGGCCAUGGCUUAAAAGUGAGGAGGACUCAAAAGUUCAUAUAUACAUGGUUGGGGAUAGCUCUGGGGGCAACAUUGUUCACAAUGUUGCUUUGAAGGCAGUAGAAUCCGGAAUUGAAGUAUUGGGAAAUAUACUACUGAACCCAAUGUUUGGUGGACAAGAGAGAACUGAAUCAGAAAAGCGUUUAGAUGGAAAAUAUUUUGUCACUAUCCAAGACCGGGACUGGUACUGGAGAGCUUUUCUCCCUGAAGGGGAAGAUAGGGACCAUGCGGCCUGUAACCCUUUUGGUCCCAAUGGUAAAAGCCUUGUAGGAAUGAAAUUCCCCAAGAGUCUUGUUGUGGUUGCUGGGUUGGAUCUUGUUCAGGAUUGGCAAUUGGCUUAUGUUGAAGGGCUUAAGAAAGCUGGUCAAGAGGUGAAACAUCUAUACCUGGACAAGGCAACAAUCGGCUUCUACUUGUUGCCAAACAACGACCACUUCUAUACUGUCAUGGAUGAGAUAAGUAACUUUGUGAGUUCUAACUGUUAAUAGACUUAACUUUACAGACAGGCAGCCAUACAUAACAGAAGGUUGACAUUUCACUCGGGGUUAUAUUUCUCCUGAAGGGGUUGUUUGCAGUUGAUAAGCUUGUGUAGUAUUACUACUUACUGUUUUCUUGAUCAUUGCGAUGUUAAGAUUCUGCUCCCCAAUGGGGUCUGGUUCUUCUUGGUAUAGAGAUGACUGGGCUUGGCUGUUGGGAGUAGAAGGCUUGGUUCAGCAUCUAGCUGGAUUAGGAUCUUGUGUCUUUGGGACAUCCACAUCCAAGUGGCAUGACUGCGGGUGUUAUGGUUUGAUGAAGGCUCUUGUGGCAGCAUGAGCCGCCGGUUGACUAAGUUUAGCAAACCCACCAAAUCUAAGAUUACCCCUCUGACUUCCGGCCAUAAGGAGAGGAAGACAGGCACAUGCGGGUAAUCGUUUGGUGGCCGAUCAAUUGGGGUCGGUGCCUGGCUAAUGUUAUAUAGCUAAUUUUAAGACGUGGAUGAGAAACCUUCCAUGAUAUUGUGAACCUGUAUGUUUAUACAUAUGUUCUAGAAUUUAUAUAAAGAUGUUUGCUUAUCUGUUGUUCGCAAAAAAAAAAAAAAAAAAAAAAA
rnacentral:lncRNA from 1 species